rnacentral:rRNA from 1 species
GACGAACGCUGGCGGCGUGCUUAACACAUGCAAGUCGAACGGAAAGGCCCUGCUUUUGUGGGGUGCUCGAGUGGCGAACGGGUGAGUAACACGUGAGUAACCUGCCCUUGACUUUGGGAUAACUUCAGGAAACUGGGGCUAAUACCGGAUAGGAGCUCCUGCUGCAUGGUGGGGGUUGGAAAGUUUCGGCGGUUGGGGAUGGACUCGCGGCUUAUCAGCUUGUUGGUGGGGUAGUGGCUUACCAAGGCUUUGACGGGUAGCCGGCCUGAGAGGGUGACCGGCGACAUUGGGACUGAGAUACGGACCAGACUCCUACGGGAGGCAGUAGUGGGGAAUAUUGCACAAUGGGCGGACGCGUGAUGCAGCAACGCCGCGAGCGGGAUGACGGCCUUCGGGUUGUAAACCGCUUUCGCCUGUGACGAAGCGUGAGUGACGGUAAUGGGUAAAGAAGCACCGGCUAACUACGUG